AGAGUUUGAUCCUGGCUCAGGAUGAACGCUGGCGGCGUGCUUAACACAUGCAAGUCGAACGAAGCAAUUAGAAGGAAGUUUUCGGAUGGAAUUUUAAUUGACUGAGUGGCGGACGGGUGAGUAACGCGUGGGUAACCUGCCUCAUACAGGGGGAUAACAGUUAGAAAUGACUGCUAAUACCGCAUAAGCGCACAGGAUUGCAUGAUCCCGUGUGAAAAACUCCGGUGGUAUGAGAUGGACCCGCGUCUGAUUAGCUGGUUGGUGGGGUAACGGCCUACCAAGGCGACGAUCAGUAGCCGACCUGAAAGGGUGACCGGCCACAUUGGGACUGAGACACGGCCCAAACUCCUACGGGAGGCAGCAGUGGGGAAUAUUGCACAAUGGGGGAAACCCUGAUGCAGCAACGCCGCGUGAGUGAAGAAGUAUUUCGGUAUGUAAAGCUCUAUCAGCAGGGAAGAAAAUGACGGUACCUGAGUAAGAAGCCCCGGCUAACUACGUGCCAGCAGCCGCGGUAAUACGUAGGGGGCUAGCGUUAUCCGGAUUUACUGGGUGUAAAGGGAGCGUAGACGGCGAUGCAAGUCUGAAGUGAAAGCCCGGGGCUCAACCCCGGGACUGCUUUGGAAACUGUAUGGCUGGAGUGCUGGAGAGGCAAGCGGAAUUCCUAGUGUAGCGGUGAAAUGCGUAGAUAUUAGGAAGAACACCAGUGGCGAAGGCGGCUUGCUGGACAGUAACUGACGUUGAGGCUCGAAAGCGUGGGGAGCAAACAGGAUUAGAUACCCUGGUAGUCCACGCUGUAAACGAUGAAAUGCUAGGUGUUUGGGGAGCAAAGCUUCUCG
rnacentral:rRNA from 1 species